CUUCGGACUUAGUGGCGGACGGGUGAGUAACACGUGGGAACGUGCCUUUAGGUUCGGAAUAACUCCGGGAAACUUGUGCUAAUACCGAAUGUGCCCUUCGGGGGAAAGAUUUAUCGCCUUUAGAGCGGCCCGCGUCUGAUUAGCUAGUUGGUGGGGUAAUGGCCCACCAAGGCUACGAUCAGUAGCUGGUCUGAGAGGAUGACCAGCCACAUUGGGACUGAGACACGGCCCAAACUCCUACGGGAGGCAGCAGUGGGGAAUCUUGCGCAAUGGGCGAAAGCCUGACGCAGCCAUGCCGCGUGGAUGAUGAAGGUCUUAGGAUUGUAAAAUCCUUUCACCGGUGAAGAUAAUGACUGUAGCCGGAGAAGAAGCCCCGGCUAACUUCGUGCCAGCAGCCGCGGUAAUACGAAGGGGGCUAGCGUUGCUCGGAAUUACUGGGCGUAAAGGGAGCGUAGGCGGACAUUUAAGUCAGGGGUGAAAUCCCGAGGCUCAACCUCGGAACUGCCUUUGAUACUGGGUGUCUUGAGUGUGAGAGAGGUAUGUGGAACUCCGAGUGUAGAGGUGAAAUUCGUAGAUAUUCGGAAGAACACCAGUGGCGAAGGCGACAUACUGGCUCAUUACUGACGCUGAGGCUCGAAAGCGUGGGGAGCAAACAGGAUUAGAUACCCUGGUAGUCCACGCCGUAAACGAUGAGUGCUAGUUGUCGGGGCGCUUGCGCUUCGGUGACGCAGCU
rnacentral:rRNA from 1 species